rnacentral:rRNA from 1 species
UACGUAGGCAGCGAGCGUUGUUCGGAAUUACUGGGCGUAAAGCGUGCGCAGGCGGUUUGCUAAGACCGAUGUGAAAUCCCCGGGCUUAACCUGGGAACUGCAUUGGUGACUGGCAAGCUAGAGUGUGGCAGAGGGGGGUAGAAUUCCACGUGUAGCAGUGAAAUGCGUAGAGAUGUGGAGGAAUACCGAUGGCGAAGGCAGCCCCCUGGGCCAACACUGACGCUCAUGCACGAAAGCGUGGGGAGCAAACAGG